rnacentral:rRNA from 1 species
GACGAACGCUGGCGGCGUGCUUAACACAUGCAAGUCGAACGGAAAGGCCCUGCUUUUGUGGGGUGCUCGAGUGGCGAACGGGUGAGUAACACGUGAGUAUCCUGCCCUUGACUUUGGGAUAACUUCAGGAAACUGGGGCUCAUACCGGAUAGGAGCUCCUGCUGCAUGGUGGGGGUUGGUAAGUUUCGGCGGUUGGGGAUGGACUAGCGGCUUAUCAGCUUGUUGGUGGGGUAGUGGCUUACCAAGGCUUUGACGGGUAGCCGGCCUGGGAGGGUGACCGGCCACAUUGGGACUGAGAGACGGCCCAGACGCCUACGUGAGGCAGCAGUGGGGAAUAUUGCACAAUGGGCGGAAGCCUGAGGCAGCAGCGCCGCGUGCGGGAUGACGGCCUUCGGGUUGUAAACCGCUUUCGCCUGUGACGAAGCGUGAGUGACGGUAAUGGGUAAAGAAGCACCGGCUAACUACGUG